AUUGAACGCUGGCGGCAUGCUUUACACAUGCGAGUCGAACGGUAACAGGCCGCAAGGUGCUGACGAGUGGCGAACGGGUGAGUAAUGCAUCGGAACGUGCCCAGUCGUGGGGGAUAACUACUCGAAGGAGUAGCUAAUACCGCAUACGAUCUAUGGAUGAAAGCGGGGGACCGUAAGGCCUCGCGCGAUUGGAGCGGCCGAUGUCAGAUUAGGUAGUUGGUGGGGUAAAGGCUCACCAAGCCAACGAUCUGUAGCUGGUCUGAGAGGACGACCAGCCACACUGGGACUGAGACACGGCCCAGACUCCUACGGGAGGCAGCAGUGGGGAAUUUUGGACAAUGGGCGCAAGCCUGAUCCAGCAAUGCCGCGUGCAGGAAGAAGGCCUUCGGGUUGUAAACUGCUUUUGUACGGAACGAAACGGCUCUGGUUAAUACCCGGGGCUAAUGACGGUACCGUAAGAAUAAGCACCGGCUAACUACGUG
rnacentral:rRNA from 1 species